CGCAAUCAGAGAUAACCCCCACCUUCCGAUAAGGAUGAUCGGACGAGAAGUUUUAGUUUAGCGCUGGCCAGCCGAGAGGUGACAACAAACCUGUUGAAAACAACACAACGAGGCAUUAUUUUGAUCUUCUCUUUCUUCUUUCUUUACUACCAACACCGCCCAACAUUGGAGUCUGGACUGCGUGAGCGAGUCAUCCUUCACUUCCAACGCCACCCGAUGUUGAAGCCGGGACUACGGGGUGUACAUGAUUCAUGGGGCUUUUACACAAGGAACAAAGUUGUACGGGGGAAAAGGUAAUUGGAAAUAAUGCUGAAUACUUUACCUCAGACCACAGGUGCAAAUUGUCCAGGAAGGAUUCACUCUCUCACUCAAAAAAGCUUUGUUCGGGAUGAGGAAAGGUUCAAAGACGAAAGACAAGACAAAAUGUGGAGUGGAAUGACGAAGCAAUAAAGCUAAGGUAUAAGAUAAAAAUCCUUAUUUGUUCAUAUAUAUUUUUAUAGGGUUCAUUAAAAAACUUAUUCAAAAAUUCAUGAAAUAAUUUUAUCGACAAACUAUGCAAACUAAUUUCAUAGUGGACAAAAUGAAUCAAUCUCCAUGCAAGCAAUGCUUAUUUAAGAUUUUUAUAAAUUAGAAAUC